rnacentral:rRNA from 1 species
GGGCUUGAACUGUACCUGACAGGUGUAGAGAUACACUCUUCUUCGGGACAGGUAUAGAGGUGCUGCAUGGUUGUCGUCAGCUCGUGUCGUGAGAUGUUGGGUUAAGUCCCGCAACGAGCGCAACCCUUACUCUCUGUUGCCAUCAGGUAAUGCUGAGCACUCUGAGGGAACUGCCGGUGACAAACCGGAGGAAGGUGGGGAUGACGUCAAAUCAUCACGGCCCUUACGUCCAGGGCUACACACGUGCUACAAUGGCCGGUACAAAGAGCUGCGAUGCCGCGAGGUGGAGCUAAUCUCAAAAAACCGGUCUCAGUUCGGAUUGCAGUCUGCAACUCGACUGCAUGAAGUUGGAAUCGCUAGUAAUCGUAGAUCAGCACGCUACGGUGAAUACGUUCCCGGGCCUU